AUGCUUGCUUCAGCAGCACAUAUACUAAAAUAUAAGGAAUGAUACGGAGAUGAGCGUGACCUCCCCCACAAGGGUGACAUGCAAAUUCCUGAAACGUUCCAUAUUUUU
ensembl:snRNA U6 U6 spliceosomal RNA